rnacentral:misc_RNA from 1 species
AACGCACAUUGCGCCCCUUGGUAUUCCGAGGGGCAUGCCUGUUCGAGCGUCAUUACACCACUCAAGCUCAGCUUGGUAUUGGGCCCUCGUCCCCCGGGACGUGCCUCAAAAUCAGUGGCGGUGCCGCCUGACUUCAAGCGCAGUAAUUCAUAACCUCGCUUUGGAAGCUCGGGACGCGUGCCGGCCAUACAACCCCCAUCUUCAAGGUUGACCUCGGAUCAGGUAGGGAUACCCGCUGAACUUAA